AUUUGUAAAUUGCAAAAAGUUGAAAAACAAACGUUACUUUACCUGAAAAGUGAAAGUAGAUUUGCAGUUUCUUAUUAUGUCAAGUGCUAUUGCACUUUAAAGUGUCAAAACAGCACCUCUCGAUUUUGUAAACAUGUUUCCACGUGGAAGGGAGUAGUUUAUGUCGGUCAAGAUUAACCCACAUACAUUGAUUUAGUAAACAAAAACACUCGUUAGAGUACAUUUUGAACAGCCAUCUGCAGGUAUGACAAAAAUAACACAAUUGACCCAAUGAGGAUAUACUCUGAAGACAGUGAUGUGCAAGUUCAAGGUUUGACUGUUAAUUACUUCAAUGAUAAAGAAUGGUUGAAAAAAUUCUCAC